AUUGAACGCUGGCGGCAGGCCUAACACAUGCAAGUCGAGCGGUGCGGCGGACGGGUGAGUCAUGCCUAGUCAUCUGCCUGGUCGUGGGGGAUAACGUCCGGUAACGGGCGCUAAUACCGCAUCCUAUCAGAUUCGCCUAGGUCGGAUUAGCUAGUUGGUGGGGUAAAGGCCUACCAAGGCGACGAUCCGUCACUGGUCUGAGUGGAUGAUCAGUCAACCAGGAACGGAGCAAGGGGCCAGAAUCCGACGGGAGGCAGCAGUGGGGAAUAUUGGACAAUGGGCGAAAGCCUGAUCCAGCCAGGCGGGGUGUGUGAAGAAGGUCUUCGGAUUGUAAAGCACUUUAAGGUGGGAGGGGUUACCAACAAAAGAAGCACCGGAUAACUUCGUGCCAGCAGCGGCGUAAUAC
rnacentral:rRNA from 1 species